rnacentral:lncRNA from 1 species
GUCGGAGCUCUGUCGGGCCGAGCCAGAGGGGCGAGGCUGAGGUGGUCGCGGGGCCGAGUCCAGGGGCUGACUCUGAGGGACACCCUUCUGCCCGCCCCCGCGCUGCCCGUCGCGCCCCUCGAACUCCCGCAGCGCAGCCCAGUCCGGGGCGUCGGUCCCGUCGCGGUGGACGCCCACCGCUUGUUGAGAACUGGCUGCGGGACAUGAGUUGGGACCUCCGUUGGAGGUGGAGUUUGUGGGGUCUGGUCUCUUGGGGAGACGCCGAGGGCUCUGCUGAUGAGUUGCCGCUCUGGCCCUGGGGUAGUGACGGUCGUCGUGGAACUUCCAAUCGGCUGAGCGCUUCCCGGGGGCGGCGGUUUGAAACCUCGCCCGGGAGUCCGUCGGGCGGACGAGCGCUGGGGUCCUAGUGGGCCCUCGGGUCUGACUCCUGGGCACCACCAGCCCCGGCCCCUGAGCACAGUUUCUCCGGUUCCUGUCGUAUACCUGGCUACUUCUCGAGCCCUCUUCUGCCCCCAAUUUCGCAGUCUGACGUUUAGAAUUCUGCAUCUUCCUCCGCAAGGUGGGACCUCCUUUUUUUUUUUUUUUUUUUUGCCAGCGUUAACUUUAGAGUUCUCUUAGGCUUUGAUGCCUUCCUCCUCCUUUCCCCCUUGGGUGUCUUAGGUAUUUUGAGGUCCUACACUCCUCUACCAAUGAUUGCGUGCUAAGGUUUAUCGAGGACCUUGAUUAUCAACGGAAUACGAGUGACAGAGCUGGGCCUGAACCUUUGUUUUCCUGGGAGUUGAGGGAGAACUGUAGGAAACCCCUUGGGAAGCUUCUUCUGAUCGUUGUCUUAGAAGCUAAAACAAGCUAGAUAAUAAUAUUCGUCCUGGAGGGCGAAUGCUCUCCUACAGCCGGACAGGUGGAACCAGCUCCCUGCUUGGGAAGUCUAGGUUUAAACCAACUGUCACCUCUGUCCCAUUCUGGCAGGAAUUCUCCUCCCCCAGGGUUGGGAAGCUCUGGAAAAUCUGCUAGUCUCUCUUAGACUCUUAAGACUGUCCGAUUUGUAGGGAAGAGAGAGUUUUUAGAAUUGUAACAGAACGUUUUUGAAUAAACGAAUUUUUAGCCACAAUGACAUCAGUAAGAUCUGGAGUGCUACUUAUCUUUCUGCAUGCACUAUUGUAAUUCGAUAUGGUUGCUUUGAAAACUCUGGGAUCAAAGUAUAUAGGUGGUGUGUGAACUAAUUUCAUAAAAGGAACAACAAAAUACAACCUUAUAGGUGUACUAUAAAGUACCAUGGAAAUUACAAAGUAUUAUUUGAACUUAAAGGAUUAUUAUUCUUGCAUAUAAUUUUUUUUUCUCUUGUAUUAACUACACAGGCCAGUACCACUCAGUUGUUUUUCAUAAGUCAUUUAAUUACCAGGUGUUCCAGAAUGCACAUCACCUAAUGUAAGAUACUAUAAUUGACUUGUACUUUGUUUUUGGAAUAUCCACUCUACUUGUUAUACUGGUGUUUCUGUGGGAAUCUUAUUAGAUAUUUGGGGAAAGUGCAUCCAUUUUUACUGUUUGGACAUUGUCCUAAUAAUGUAAUUCAGAGGUGUUUUUUUUUUCCCCCUCAUAUUCCUUAGGUUAACUUUGUAAUGUGCUUUAUAUUGAAUUUUUUAAAUGUAUUUUUUGUUAAAGUAGCUCUCUUUCAGCCGGCAACUUUUGAGAAAAAUUUAAAAAAUUCUGCUUCUGAUUUGCAUUUGAAUAGUAUGGGCUUACAACAAAACCCAAUGUAAUUCCUGCUUCUGUUUGUUAUUUUUGAAUAUUUCUCCCUCUAAUAAAAUUCUUGAUUCGAAUACACCUCCUU